GACGAACGCUGGCGGCGUGCUUAACACAUGCAAGUCGAACGAUGAAGCCGGAGCUUGCUCCGGUGGAUUAGUGGCGAACGGGUGAGUAACACGUGAGCAAUCUGCCCUUGACUCUGGGAUAACUGCGGGAAACUGUAGCUAAUACCGGAUACGACACCUUGGGGCAUCCCAGGGUGUGGAAAGAAUUUCGGUCAAGGAUGAGCUCGCGGCCUAUCAGCUAGUUGGUGAGGUAAUGGCUCACCAAGGCGACGACGGGUAGCCGGCCUGAGAGGGUGACCAGCCACACUGGAACUGAGACACGGUCCAGACUCCUACGGGAGGCAGCAGUGGGGAAUAUUGCACAAUGGGCGAAAGCCUGAUGCAGCAACGCCGCGUGAGGGAUGAAGACCUUCGGGUUGUAAACCUCUUUUAGCAGGGAAGAAGCGAAAGUGACGGUACCUGCAGAAAAAGCACCGGCUAACUACGUGCCAGCCGCCGCAGUAA
rnacentral:rRNA from 1 species